rnacentral:lncRNA from 1 species
GUUUUUGCUGAAUAAAUUGUGGAGUUUUUUUUUUUNAAUUCUUUUAUUCAAACAUCAAAAUCUACAAUAGCUAGCGAAUAAUAAAUUUUGAAUUUUAUUAAGAGAAUCAAUGAUUAUUUCUCAUUUCUUCGUGUAGUGACUCGAAUUACUAACUUAAAAGUUGGAUGGAUAAGAUUUUUAUUUUUUUAUUUUUGAUAAUUUAACAGUAUUAAAUAAAAAAAUUUAAAGCCCGC